UGCAUUGAUUUAUCUGGAUGCAUCUGUUGCUCAAAUGCUUCGUGGAUCUAUCAUAGUUUUCACUGGAAUAUUUUCGAAAAUAUUUCUAAAACACAAAUUAAAACCAUCGCAUUGGUUUGGAAUGGUGGUGACAGUGACUGGUUUGUGCUUAGUUGGUUUGGCGAGCGUAUUGAAACAAGAUAAAUCUGGUAAUAAAAAUGUGGAAAAUGUAGU
rnacentral:lncRNA from 1 species